rnacentral:rRNA from 1 species
CGGAGGAUCCAAGCGUUAUCCGGAUUUACUGGGCGUAAAGAGUUGCGUAGGUGGUUUAUCAAGUUUCCGUUUAAAUGCCAAGGCUCAACCUUGGAAGUGACGGAAAAACUGAUAAACUCGAGAAUGAGAGAGGUCACUGGAAUUUCCUGUGUAGGAGUGAAAUCCGUAGAUAUGAGAAGGAACACCGAUGGCGUAGGCAGGUGACUGGCUCAUUUCUGACACUGAGGCACGAAAGCGUGGGGAGCGAACGGGAUUAGAUACCCCGGUAGUCCACGCCGUAAACGAUGGAUGCUAGCUGUAAGGAGUAUCGACCCUUCUUGUAGCGAAGCUAACGCGUUAAGCAUCCCGCCUGGGGAGUACGGUCGCAAGAUUA